GAAGCCAGGCCAAGAAGAAUCCCAGGACUGGAAGGCCUUGUGGGACGUCCCAGGUUUGUCUUGUGUCAAUAGCACUGAUACUCAAUCUCCUACUCCCAUCUGUGAGCAUGCAGACCCUACUUGCCUUCCCACAGCCUCCCUUUUCAUAUUUUUCAUGUUUCUUUAGCUCUGUCUUCAAGCCUUGUUGCUCCCGCAAAAAAACCUGCCUCUUCCUCCAGUCCUCCCAAGCAGGGGGAACAGUCCUGACACCUUUCCAAGCCCUGGUCCAUGGACAUUGUGCCCCCUUCUCCCUGCCCAUGGUGACCUGCUCCAAAACCCUCAAGGAGAAGGGAGUGUAUGUCAUUUCCUCCCUGUAAAGUAAAGAUAAUUUUGCAGGGGACUGUGUGGAUGAAAUGACAUGAUGCAUGGAAAUCCCUUAGCGUGUGCCUGGCAUGUAAACUGCAGGUGUCAUCAUUAUUACUGAGGAAUACUGAGUCCCGAACAUGGCUGUCUCAUUGGUGGACUGGGGUCUCCCCCAGGGCAUUCAUCUACUAUGUGUUUAUUGCACCCUUUUUCCAUGUGAGGCACAUGCCAGGGACUGGGCACAUGGUAUGAACAAGACACAGGUCAUCGGUGUCCUCUUGAGCUCCCUGGCUUGGCAGCAGAUGCAUACCUGGGAAGGAUGCUAGGUCAUCCGGGAACUCUACCUCCUUCAAAUCCCUAAGGACUGUGCUCCCAAUCCGCUUACGCUCAAGGAAGAACUGGAAGGCCCAGAACCAGCCUGCUGUCAGGAUCAGAACAAAAGAGGAGGACUGCAUAUGUAUGGACCCACUCCAGAUGGCACGGGGACGGGGGGAGUAGGAAAAGUGGCAUGAGACCAGGCCCACAGAGUAUGGCUGUGCAAGUUGUUCACUCUACAAGGGCACCUGGCCGCUCUCUCAUUCCUGUUGAGGGCUCUCUGGUGGAGCCUCUGUCUCACAGGUCACCUGCAGGCCAACACUCCCAGAAGCAGCUAGCACCAUGGUUGACCUCGUCCAGGUCCAGGGAAGGCCUCCCUCUCCAGGACUCCUUUAGAUUUCCCCAGCAUCCAGACCUCACCUGCCUAAGUGCUGUUGCCCUGGAAGCCACAGUGAGCACGAGCUCCAUCUUGCACCUUUACCAGCCAAUGGGGGUAAAGACAUUAGCUGAAAUACUUCUAAGGGGCCAGGCGUGGUGACUCAUGCUUGUAAUUCCAAGCACUUUGGGAGGCUGAGGCAGGUGGAUCACCUGAAGCCAGGAGUUCAAGAGCAGCCUGGCCAACAUGGCGAAACCCUGUCUCUACUAAAAAUACAAAAUUUAGCCAGGCAUGGUGGCGGGAGCCUGUAAUCUCAGCUCCUAGGGAGGCUGAGCCAGAAGAAUCGCUUAAACCUGGAAGCUGGAGGUUGCAGUGAGCCAAGAUCACACCACCACACUCCAGCCUGGGUGACAGAGCAAGACUCCAUCUCAAAAAGAAAAAAAAGAAAAAAAGGAAAUACUUCUAAGUUAUGUGAGAGAGUACAUACUGACAUUUUCAAUGGGUACAAUAA
rnacentral:lncRNA from 1 species